AACGAACGCUGGCGGCAUGCCUAACACAUGCAAGUCGAACGAGACCUUCGGGCCUAGUGGCGCACGGGUGCGUAACGCGUGGGAACCUGCCCUUAGGUUCGGAAUAACUCCCCGAAAGGGGUGCUAAUACCGGAUAAUGUCUUCGGACCAAAGAUUUAUCGCCUUUGGAUGGGCCCGCGUUGGAUUAGCUAGUUGGUAGGGUAAAAGCCUACCAAGGCGACGAUCCAGAGCUGGUCUGAGAGGAUGAUCAGCCACACUGGGACUGAGACACGGCCCAGUAUCCUACGGGAGGCAGCAGUGGGGAAUAUUGUGCACUGGGCGAAAGCCUAAUAAAGCAAUGCCGCGUGAGUGAUGAAUGCCUUAGGGUUGUAAAGCUCUUUUACCCGGGAUGAUAAUGACAGUACCGGGAGAAUAAGCUCCGGCUAACUCCGUG
rnacentral:rRNA from 1 species